rnacentral:rRNA from 1 species
GUCUUUUUGAGAAUAAUUUAAAGUCAAAUCUGCCCACUGAAUUAAUUUUAAAGGGCUGCAGUAUAUUGACUGUACAAAGGUAGCAUAAUCAUUAGUCUUUUAAUUGAAGACUUGUAUGAAUGAUUUGAUGAGAUAUAAACUGUCUCUUUAUUAAAUAUAGAAUUUAAUUUUUUAGUUAAAAAGCUAAAAUUUAUAUAAAAGACGAGAAGACCCUAUAGAGUUUAAUAUUUAAUUAAAAUUUAAUUUUAUAUAAAUUUUUAAAUUAAAUUUUAAUUAAAUAUUUUGUUGGGGUGAUAGAAAAAUUUAAGAAACUUUUUUUUAAAAUUUAACAUUAAUUUAUGAAUUUAUGAUCCAUAAUUUAUGAUUAUAAGAAUAAAUUACCUUAGGGAUAACAGCGUAAUUUUUUUUUUUUAGUUCAAAUAAAAAUUAAAGUUUGCGACCUCGAUGUUGGAUUAAGAUAAAAUUUAAAUGCAAAAGUUUAAAAUUUUGAUCUGUUCGAUCAUUAAAAUCUUACA